UCAAAACAACCUAAUGAUUGAAAGCUGACUAUGUUAUUGAAGAUUUUUCUGAGAAAACUAGAUGAUUUUUGUUUGGGUCUCUGUAUAUUCACAUAUCAGCAACACCACUGAAUUUGCUUUCAAACAGCUGACAUUAAAUGAGUGCUGCUGUAGGGGAUCUGAAAUGGAAAGAUGAUGUGGACAACACGGCUGACCAGACUCAACACCUUCAACAACCGCAUACAAAUAAAUGUCAUCAUUAAUUCUGA